GACGAACGCUGGCGGCGUGCCUAAUACAUGCAAGUUGAGCGAUGAAGAUUGGUGCUUGCACCAAUUUGAAGAGCAGCGAACGGGUGAGUAACGCGUGGGGAAUCUGCCUUUGAGCGGGGGACAACAUUUGGAAACGAAUGCUAAUACCGCAUAAUAACUUUAAACAUAAGUUUUAAGUUUGAAAGAUGCAAUUGCAUCACUCAAAGAUGAUCCCGCGUUGUAUUAGCUAGUUGGUGAGGUAAAGGCUCACCAAGGCGAUGAUACAUAGCCGACCUGAGAGGGUGAUCGGCCACAUUGGGACUGAGACACGGCCCAAACUCCUACGGGACGCAGCAGUAGGGAAUCUUCGGCAAUGGACGAAAGUCUGACCGAGCAACGCCGCGUGAGUGAAGAAGGUUUUCGGAUCGUAAAACUCUGUUGGUAGAGAAGAACGUUGGUGAGAGUGGAAAGCUCAUCAAGUGACGGUAACUACCCAGAAAGGGACGGCUAACUACGUG
rnacentral:rRNA from 1 species